AUUGAACGCUGGCGGCAUGCCUUACACAUGCAAGUCGAACGGUAACGGGCCUUCGGGCGCCGACGAGUGGCGAACGGGUGAGUAAUGUAUCGGAACGUACCUUUCAGUGGGGGAUAACGUAGCGAAAGUUACGCUAAUACCGCAUAUUCUGUGAGCAGGAAAGCAGGGGAUCGCAAGACCUUGCGCUGAUUGAGCGGCCGAUAUCAGAUUAGCUAGUUGGUGAGGUAAAGGCUCACCAAGGCGACGAUCUGUAGCGGGUCUGAGAGGAUGAUCCGCCACACUGGAACUGAGACACGGUCCAGACUCCUACGGGAGGCAGCAGUGGGGAAUUUUGGACAAUGGGGGCAACCCUGAUCCAGCCAUGCCGCGUGAGUGAAGAAGGCCUUCGGGUUGUAAAGCUCUUUCGGCCGGGAAGAAAUCGUAUCAGCUAAUACCUGGUGCGGAUGACGGUACCGGCAUAAGAAGUACCGGCUAACUACGUGCCAGCAGCCGCGGUAAGAC
rnacentral:rRNA from 1 species